UACGGAGGGUGCAAGCGUUGUCCGGAUUUAUUGGGUUUAAAGGGUGCGUAGGUGGUUUUUUAAGUCUGGUUUGAAAGCUGGUCGCUUAACGAUCAGAUGUGGCUGGAAACUGAGGAACUUGAAUGCGUUGGCGGUAGCCGGAACGGGUCAUGUAGCGGUGAAAUGCAUAGAUAUGACCCAGAACACCGAUUGCGAAGGCAGGCUACUACGACGUGAUUGACACUGAGGCACGAGAGCAUGGGUAGCGAACAGG
rnacentral:rRNA from 1 species